rnacentral:rRNA from 1 species
CUACGGAGGGAGCAAGCGUUGUUCGGAAUCACUGGGCGUAAAGCGAGUGUAGGUUGUCAGGUAAGUAGGAUGUGAAAGCCCGGGGCUCAACCCCGGAAUUGCAUUCUAAACUGCCUGGCUAGAGUCCCGGAGAGGGAGGUGGAAUUCCGAGUGUAGAGGUGAAAUUCGUAGAUAUUCGGAGGAACACCAGAGGCGAAGGCGACCUCCUGGACGGUGACUGACACUGAGACUCGAAAGCGUGGGGAGCAAACAGGAUUAGAAACCCCAGUAGUCC